rnacentral:tRNA from 1 species
UCUCCUGUAGCUCAGUGGUAGAGCGUCCGACCGGUGUGCAGAAGGUCAUACAGUAGGUUCGACUCCUGUUGGGAGAA